rnacentral:rRNA from 1 species
UACAUGGGGUGCAAACGUUGCUCGGAAUUAUUGGGCGUAAAGCGCACGUAGGCGGUUUGUUAAGUCGGAUGUGAAAUCCCUCGGCUCAACUGAGGAAGUGCAUCCGAAACUGGCAGGCUUGAGUACUAAAGAGGGUCGCGGAAUUCCCGGUGUAGAGGUGAAAUUCGUAGAUAUCGGGAGGAACACCGGGGGCGAGGCGGCGACCUGGGUAGAUACUGACGCUGAGGUGCGAAAGCGUGGGGAGCAAACAGG